CGAUGGAGGGGGAUAACUACUGGAAACGGUAGCUAAUACCGCAUAACGUCGCAAGACCAAAGAGGGGGACCUUGGGGCCUCUUGCCAUCGGAUGUGCCCAGAUGGGAUUAGCUAGUAGGUGGGGUAACGGCUCACCUAGGCGACGAUCCCUAGCUGGUCUGAGAGGAUGACCAGCCACACUGGAACUGAGACACGGUCCAG
rnacentral:rRNA from 1 species